AAUGAACGCUGGCGGCGCGCCUAAUACAUGCAAGUCGAGCGAGAAGACGUAGCAAUACGUUUGUAAAGCGGCGAACGGGUGAGGAAUACAUGGGUAACCUACCCUAGAGUGGGGAAUAACUAGCCGAAAGGUUAGCUAAUACCGCGUACGCUCCUUGGACUUCGGUUCAGGGAGGAAAGCGAUGCCGAGGGUAUCGCGCUCUUGGAUGGGCUCAUGUCCUAUCAGCUUGUUGGGAGGUAACGGCUCACCAAGGCUUCGACGGGUAGCUGGUCUGAGAGGACGAUCAGCCACACUGGGCACUGCGACACGGGGCCAGACUCCUACGGGAGGCAGCAGUAAGGAAUAUUGCGCAAUGGGCGAAAGCCUGACGCAGCGACGCCGCGUGGGGGA
rnacentral:rRNA from 1 species